GCACACUUUGGGAACCACUUUAAAAAUUAAUCACACCAAGUUAUAUUAAGAUAAAAGAAUGCAGUGAAUUUUUUUGUACCAUUUUUGAUGUAAAUAUAUGUUUUUUGUGCUGCAGAAACAGAAACAUAUUUUCUCUCUGUAGCAUGAUGCCCUCUGCUGUUAGCUACUAAAUGACACACAUUUAUGAAAAACCAGGAAAAUGUUUCAAGUUUGUUUCCAUUUUCUGUUUGUUUAGAUCCGAAAUCAGAGUCAUAUUCACCAAGAGGCUUUCUGAAAUAAUGUAUCAGUUGUAAAUGUCAUUAGAACUGCAUGUUUUAUUUUUGGAUUUUGUUGACUUUGUCUUCAUGUCAGUGAUUCCCAACAUGGGGGGCCGGCCCUUUAAAAGGAGCACGAAGAAGCUGAGGGAGGAUCCAAAGUUUUGGAGGCAAAGAGAGAAAUUUACAAACAAAAGUCCAGCAGCGCCAUGGCGACAUGCCCAAGACUCAGCGCAUCAGCAUUCGUUACCGUGGCAACAGGCGUGUACCAGGCCAAGGAGCCGACAUGGUUCCCCGAGAACAGCUGCAGCAGCGGAGCAGCGUCUGUCUACUGCUUCAUACAGGAGCGGUGAAACAUGGCCGCCUUCACUGCCGACCUGCUUGUUAAAGAAACACGUUGCAUCAUUAUUUUACGUUCCACUGUAAACAGCAGCGAUGCAGGUUCACGUCGUCACUGUGGAAUCUGUUGUCCUGAAAAACUCAACUCAGUUUCAACGCUGCUGGUUUCCACCAUUUAAGGUGAACUAAACAUGUCAAACAGACUAAAUAAGCUACAUUUUUGUAAAUAAAGACAUUUACAGAGGAAGCACAAUAAAAUAGUUAAACUAUUUAAUAUAAUGAAUAAUCAAAGCAGGGCUGCAACUGUUAUUUUAGCUAUGGAUUAAUCAAUUAUUCUGAUGAUUGAUCAGUUAAAAAUGGCCACAUUCUGCAGAUUUUUCAUACAAUGUUAGAAAUACAUUAAAAGAUGAAAAUAAAGGAAUAAUUCAGUCCCUUUUUUAAACAAUAAAACAUUUAAUUACCUAAAACCCAACAUUGACAUUCCUUUAGUGAACACUUGACAUGAACUUGUGAAAAGCUCUUUUCUGACUGAACUGGGAUCAGCAUGUUGCUCAGCUAAUCUAGUGACUAUUUUUGUCCAGUGGUUUAUAAUUCAAAAAGUUUUGUUUUUUUCCAGAAUUCAAACCACAUGAAAUUAAAACUUACCCAAAACUCA